GAACAGUCGACCUCGAAUCA
rnacentral:rRNA from 1 species